UGAGGGAGAGUAACACAAAAGUCUGGCCGAUGUUGACAUGACACAUCAGAGGACGCCCAUUUUUCUAACUCUUGACAGAAUCCAGGAAAUGCCCAGGCAUCCUGGGGAGGAGAGAGCUGGAAGAACCCUGUUCCUGGGUGACCAAGCAGCCACCUAGAGACAUCUCACCUAAAAACAAUCUCCACAGGACAUGAGAAGAAGAGUUAUUUCCCUACCUGUCAGCAGGCAGAAAGCAUAAUCAAGAAGGAAAGUUCACAGCGGCUGAUUGAAGAAUAACUCCUUAGAAAUGAAUAAUAAACACCUGACAAGCCUGCUGUCUCCAAAGCAAGACAUCCCCUGACAUUCAGUAUUAAUG